UAUUAGGUUGGUGCAAAAGUAAUUGCAGUUUUGCCAUUACUUUUAAUGGUGAAAACUGCAAUUAUUUUUUCAUCAACCUAAUA
ensembl:miRNA